GAUGAACGCUGGCGGCGUGCUUAACACAUGCAAGUCGAACGGUGAAGCCCAGCUUGCUGGGUGGAUCAGUGGCGAACGGGUGAGUAACACGUGAGCAAUCUGCCCCUGACUCUGGGAUAAGCGCUGGAAACGGCGUCUAAUACUGGAUACGAACCGUGGAGGCAUCUUCAACGGUUGGAAAGAUUUUUUGGUCAGGGAUGAGCUCGCGGCCUAUCAGCUUGUUGGUGAGGUAAUGGCUCACCAAGGCGUCGACGGGUAGCCGGCCUGAGAGGGUGACCGGCCACACUGGGACUGAGACACGGCCCAGACUCCUACGGGAGGCAGCAGUGGGGAAUAUUGCACAAUGGGCGAAAGCCUGAUGCAGCAACGCCGCGUGAGGGAUGACGGCCUUCGGGUUGUAAACCUCUUUUAGUAGGGAAGAAGCGAAAGUGACGGUACCUGCAGAAAAAGCACCGGCUAACUACGUGCCAGCCGCCGCCGUAACAC
rnacentral:rRNA from 1 species